CUGUCUGUAACACUUUGGAGAGCUGGUAUCCCCUCUCACCAGCUGUUGCACUUGGGAAACCAGGCUCUGUGUCUCAUCCCAGCAGCACAGUAGAGCUGGCCCUAGUAGCAGGGGCAUGGGUGAGCCAGCCCUAAGGGAGAGAAUGUAAGAGAGCUGACUCCUUACUCUGGAAGUCAGGAAAGCUGCCCACAGGGUCAUGAAUGUGGGAGAGCUGGCCCUGCUCCUCGCCAGGUACAGCACUCAGGAGAGAGGGUCCUGCACCGUGCCUGAGCAGCACAGAACUGAUUCCUGUUGGGGGUUGGGCACAGGUGAGCUGGUCCCAAGGGUGAGAGCAUGGGAGAGCUGUCUGUUCCACUAGUCUGUUGUGCAGUGGCAUGGGUGCAGAAACGAUGCCCCUCCCCCAUCCCUAACCACCUGCAGCAGUUGGGAAAGCUGACCCUGGAGUCAUGAGUGUCGGUGAGCUGGCCCAGCCUGACACCAGCUCCAGCACUUGGAAGACCAGUCCCUACACCUUGCCUGGGAGGUGACCCUGAUGGCGACAGCACAGUUUCCGCUUAUGUCCCUACACUGGCUACUUCCAGUUUCAACUUAUGCCCCCACACCGGCUUCUCUCGAUGAUUCGUGUGAGCUAAAGAAGUUUGGCCAAGAGAAACCCACCACAGGGAGUAUGUGCAUCGAGGGCCAUAUGGAACCAAGUGGAAGCCAUUAAAACACCCCAUCCUGUUUGGGCAAGCGCAAUCCCAACAAAUCCAUUGACACAUGGCAGUGAGUGUUCUGGCUGGGUGAUUGUUUCUGUAACUCCAUCUGCCUGGCACCACCAGGGCCCCCAAGUGCCUGGAAGGUUGGGACAGAACGACCUGGGGCAAGGAAUCCACACUCUUUCAAUAUUGGGUAACUCUAGAGUGGAUGAAAAUCCUUUCCAGCUGAGCACUCUGUUUUGCUGUCUCUAGGGUUGAAGUCCAUUACUCUCCCUCUGCAACUGUCCUGCUGGCUUGCUCGGCAACCGUCAGCCAUCUUAACCUCACAUCAAAAGUGUUUGUUGGGCCACAAAGGAAAAAGACAUAAAUAGCAACUGGCAUUGAAAAACCAGACAAAAUGUGUCUCAUUCAUUAGUCUUCUCACCAAUAAGUUUCAUCUCAUCUAUAUCUACAGGGAUACUGUAAUACAUAAACACAUACACACACAGGGCAGCAGGGACAUAAGGCAGCAGGUCUCAUUGUAUCCAUUCUCAGAAAGCAGAAGGUAGAACAAAGACCCAAACUAUCAAAUCUCAGGACUUGUCCCUAGAGACUCAUUUCCCCCAGCAGGACUCCACCUCCUAAAAUCUUCCACAACCUUCUAAAAGAGUUCCGCCAUCUGAGAACCGAGUAUUCAAGCACACACCACAGCAUGCUGGGUGGCUAG